UCUGUCCUCUCCUCCUGCUGUCCCAGCUUCGCCCAGCUGGCCGGCUCAGAUAAGGGCUCCGGGGGCAGAUAAGAACUUCGUUCUCCUCCCUCUUCUGGAGAGCAGCAAACGGUGGGGCUGAGCUUUCACAGCCCUUAAACACCCAGGAAAGUUAAACCAGUCCCACCCCCUGCCAGGCUCUGGGAAAAACAUUUGUCAACGCAAAUCCUUGGUGAGAGAAGUGAAAUAAUAACCAAAAAAAAGUUGGUUCCCUUCUCCUCUCAGCCCUGAGCCACCCUUGAGGUUCCAGGGUAGGGUUACCUGGAGCAAAACCCAGUUCUGUGAUGUGGCAAAGACACACCCUGCAGGAGACAGGUUGGAAUUUGGCUCUGGAGCCGUUUUCUUGGGAAAACAAAAGGGUUUCUGUGACAGUGCAGAGCAAGUGCCAGCUCCAGGCUAUGAACUCCCUCCAGCCCCUGGAGGAAAUCUUGAUGGGACGUCGAGUCAGGACCUCGUAGUUCUUAUUUGAAGGACCAUUAAAAUGGAAAUAUUUUCUGAAAUGCAGCACAGGCGAGGAUCUGAGCUGCAGAGAAAAUGCUGCAGGUGAAACUUCUCCUGAAAAACCCUCCCCAGUCCAGAGGUGAGUGAGUGAUGAGCCAAAAAAAGAGGAUUUCGAGACAACGUGACUCCAGCAGGCCAUGAGAACAAUGAGAAGUUCAAAAAUAGCACUAUUGACUGCUGGAAAAACAACAUACAUAUAAUUUUCAGGCUUUGCUUAUUAAGAAUCAUUUACUAUCUGUGGAAACAACUUCUGACUUAAGCACUGGGGCCUUAAAAAAUCACUUUGAAUUGGAAUGAGAGAGUUCCUCCCAGUGAAAACCCUGGGUUUGUUGAUGCUGGAAGUGUGGAGAGUGCAAUUAAAAGCUUCCCUCACCUCUGUGAUGAUAUUUUGGAAAUAAAUGCAGCUUUCUGGAGUUCUUCUCCUCAGGUUUGAAUAGUUUUUGGCCAAUUUGAAGCUUCUGAAGGAACUGAUGUUUUAAGUCUUGCCUGGCUUUGAAUUUCUCAGCUCCCCGGGACCUGCUGUGGUUGCUUUUUACUUUUUCUUCUUGUGCUGCAUCCACAAAUUAUGAAAAUGGGUGCUAAUGACCAAAAAAAAGAAAAAAAAUCCCAAUCGUGAUUCAUGGAAAUGGAAUUUUGUUGACAAAAAAAAGGGGAUUUAACUUGGCCAAAGGAAAUGCUUUUCCAACUGGAGAUGAAUAUCUCAGGAAUGACCAUUUCUUCUCAGAGACAGAACCGUUCCAGUUUUAAUUUCAGAAAAAAUAAAAUAAAUAGAAUAAUUCAAA